UCUGUCUCAAACAGGAUCAGCUCUGAUCUAAUAACUACCCUCCCUCAUGAAUAUGUAAAUUGCAGCUUCUGGUUGUGAGUAAAUAAUGUCCCCAUGCCCUACAGCAGCAGGCUAUUACCCCAUUGCCCCCAGUCCCAGAGCACACAGGUUUUCAGCAUGGACAGGAGCUGGAUCAUCCUCUACCUGGUGGCAGCAGCUAUAGGAGUCCAUUAUCAGGGUCAUCUGCAGCAGUCUGCCUCUGAACUGAGGGCUCCUGGAGCUGCAGUAAAGGUGACCUGCAAGGAUUCUGACCCUAAUGACUUCCCCAUUGCCUAUAUGAAUUGGGUGAGGCAGAAGCCUGGACACGGGCUUGAGUGGAUUGGAAACAUACUCCCAAGCAUUGGUAGAACAAACUAUGGACAGACCUUUGAGGACAGAGCCACACUGACUGCAGAUACACAGUUGAACACAGCCUACAUGGAGCUCAGCAGCCUGACAUCUGAGGACUCUGCAGUCUAUUACUGUGCAAGAGACACAGCGUUGCAACCACAUCCUGAGUGUGUCAGAAACCCUGGAGGAGCAGGAAGCUGCUGUGGUCCGAGAUGGCAGAGAAGAUCAGCCUGGAGAUGUGCUUAA